rnacentral:misc_RNA from 1 species
AGCUGCCGAAUGUGAUGACACA